rnacentral:lncRNA from 1 species
CCCAGGCCACCAAUACAAUUCUCGCAAGUCGCGAUACAACUUAUUCCUUCCAGGAUGCAUAGUACAAAGUCCUCUAUGAGCUUCUUUUAGUAUUGACUGCCUUAAGUCAGAGUCCUUCGAAAUGCAAACUCUUCAUCGAAAACACAGAACUCUUUCACUAUUCAACCCAAACUCAGAAGUUUCCCCUUUCUUAAUUUGUUGGAAUCGAGAAACUAAACACUCAUCCUUCAACUCCUUUUCCC